CCUACGGGAGGCAGCAGUGAGGACUAUUGGUCAAUGGGCGGAAGCCUGAACCAGCCAAGUCGCGUGAAGGACGAAUGUCCUACGCGUUGUAAACUUCUUUUGUCAAGGAAUAAAAUCAGGCACGUGUGCCUUACCGUAUGUACUUUAAGAAUAAGCAUCGGCUAACUCCGUGCCAGCAGCCGCGGUAAUACAGAGGAUCCGAGCGUUAUCCGGAUUUAUUGGGUUUAAAGGGUGCGUAGUUGGGGUGUUAAGUCAGUGGGAAAAGUCGGGGGCUCAACCGCAGAAUUGCCUUUGAUACUGGCUGUCUUGAGUACAGUUGAGGUAGGCGGAAUUCGUGGUGUAGCGGUGAAAUGCUUAGAUAUCACGAAGAACUCCGAUUGCGAAGGCAGCUUACUAAAGUGCCACUGACAUUGAGGCUCGAAAGCGUGGGUAUCGAACAGGAUUAGAUACCCGAGUAGUC
rnacentral:rRNA from 1 species